AUUGAACGCUGGCGGCAGGCCUAACACAUGCAAGUCGAACGGUAACAGGAAACAGCUUGCUGUUUCGCUGACGAGUGGCGGACGGGUGAGUAAUGUCUGGGAAACUGCCUGAUGGAGGGGGAUAACUACUGGAAACGGUAGCUAAUACCGCAUAACGUCGCAAGACCAAAGAGGGGGACCUUCGGGCCUCUUGCCAUCGGAUGUGCCCAGAUGGGAUUAGCUUGUUGGUGGGGUAACGGCUCACCAAGGCGACGAUCCCUAGCUGGUCUGAGAGGAUGACCAGCCACACUGGAACUGAGACACGGUCCAGACUCCUACGGGAGGCAGCAGUGGGGAAUAUUGCACAAUGGGCGCAAGCCUGAUGCAGCCAUGCCGCGUGUAUGAAGAAGGCCUUCGGGUUGUAAAGUACUUUCAGCGGGGAGGAAGGGAGUAAAGUUAAUACCUUUGCCCAUUGACGUUACCCGCAGAAGAAGCACCGGCUAACUCCGUGCCAGCAGCCGCGGUAAUACGGAGGGUGCAAGCGUUAAUCGGAAUUACUGGGCGUAAAGCGCACGCAGGCGGUUUGUUAAGUCAGAUGUGAAAUCCCCGGGCUCAACCUGGGAACUGCAUCUGAUACUGGCAAGCUUGAGUCUCGUAGAGGGGGGUAGAAUUCCAGGUGUAGCGGUGAAAUGCGUAGAGAUCUGGAGGAAUACCGGUGGCGAAGGCGGCCCCCUGGACGAAGACUGACGCUCAGGUGCGAAAGCGUGGGGAGCAAACAGGAUUAGAUACCCUGGUAGUCCACGCCGUAAACGAUGUCGACUUGGAGGUUGUGCCCUUGAGGCGUGGCUUCCGGAGCUAACGCGUUAAGUCGACCGCCUGGGGAGUACGGCCGCAAGGUUAAAACUCAAAUGAAUUGACGGGGGCCCGCACAAGCGGUGGAGCAUGUGGUUUAAUUCGAUGCAACGCGAAGAACCUUACCUGGUCUUGACAUCCACGGAAGUUUUCAGAGAUGAGAAUGUGCCUUCGGGAACCGUGAGACAGGUGCUGCAUGGCUGUCGUCAGCUCGUGUUGUGAAAUGUUGGGUUAAGUCCCGCAACGAGCGCAACCCUUAUCCUUUGUUGCCAGCGGUCCGGCCGGGAACUCAAAGGAGACUGCCAGUGAUAAACUGGAGGAAGGUGGGGAUGACGUCAAGUCAUCAUGGCCCUUACGACCAGGGCUACACACGUGCUACAAUGGCGCAUACAAAGAGAAGCGACCUCGCGAGAGCAAGCGGACCUCAUAAAGUGCGUCGUAGUCCGGAUUGGAGUCUGCAACUCGACUCCAUGAAGUCGGAAUCGCUAGUAAUCGUGGAUCAGAAUGCCACGGUGAAUACGUUCCCGGGCCUUGUACACACCGCCCGUCACACCAUGGGAGUGGGUUGCAAAAGAAGUAGGUAGCUUAACCUUCGGGAGGGCGCUUACCACUUUGUGAUUCAUGACUGGGGUG
rnacentral:rRNA from 1 species